CUUCCAGAACUCGGUCCUUGCUCCCAGCUGCAAGCGCGUGUUCAGCGGGCGUGGGCGCCGGCAGUGUUAAGAUCCGGCUGUGUGUGGGAAAAGAUAGUAACCUAGAAACAGGCUACCAUCAACAACUAUAACUACCGUGAACCAUUUUACCUUCUGAUUCUACAAAUUUGCCUGUGACAGGUGUAAGGUAUAGACAGUGUCUCUUGACUCCCAGCUUUAAAGAUGAAGACAUCAGCAUCUCUGAUGCUGACUCUCCCAUGUGUCCUUACAGAUGAAGCUUUAAUCUGCCUCGUACAUCUCCGUUGCUGUAAAUUCCUGCUCCAUUUAUGGUACCAUAUGCCCUGAUUUGCCGGGAGAAAGCCAC